CCUCAAUCAACCACCCUGCAGGUGGCAGCAGAUGGGACCCAAACAGGCUAUUACACUAUGGAGUGCAAUGACCACAAGCCUUCUCAGUGUGAUCAAUGAAAGGGGUUUUGGGAGAAAGUUUGUGCAAAGCAAGCAAAACAGGGUCAUAAGUAGGGGCAACCCGAUUAUGAUGACCAGCUUGCUUUGAUAAACUUCUAACUCCUACACCUGGCAUCCAAACCUCAUGGUCAAGAAGUGAAGAACUCCAUGAGUGUCACAGAACCUCUGUUUGAACAGAUAAGUUCCCAUAGCAACUGGGAAGUCUCAAGGGGCGCUUUCCCACUGAGAGUUCCCAAGACAGCUUUUGGCUUUAUCACAGAACAUUUCAAAAACACUAAUUCGCUGCUUCAGCGAGGCAUUGUCAUUUCCAUCUUCCAUCUUCUACUUCAUGACCUGAAAAUCUGAGGUGAAGAACACCACACCUGGGAGUGGAAGCUGGCCUUUACUAUGAAUGCCCUAAAGUCAUGAGACACCAAAAAAGAAAAAGAGAGAGAAAGUUGCAUUUGAGACAUGCCAAUUCCUCACAGUACAGUGCUCCAUCAAUGGCUUUCAUUUCAGAGGUACUCCAUCUCUCCUUACAUGCUCUCCAUUGGAUGAUCCCAAGACAGCCAUUGCCUCUGUCACAGACCUGUAAAGAACUCUAAUGCAGUUGCUGCUUCAGACAGUCAUUGUCAUUUCCAUCUUCCAUCUUCUACAUCAUGACAGUAAAAUCUGAGGAAAAGAACACCAUGACUGGGAGUGGAAACUGCAGUUUACUAUGAAUGCCCUAAAAUCAAGGGACACCAGAAAAGUAAGAAAGAAAGAGCCAUUUAAGACCUGCAAAUUCCUAACACUACAGUAAUGCAUUAAAGGCGUCCAUUUCAGUGGUAAUCCAUUUCUCCUAACAGAUUCUCCAUUGAAUGUUUCCAAGACAGACCUCGCCUCUGUCAGAUCAUUCAAGAACCCUAAUCCAGUAGCUGCCUCAUACUAGCAUUGUUGUUUCCAUCGUCCAUGUUCUACAUCAUGACCGAGAAAUCUGAAAAAAAAAAAAAAAAAAGAACACCACGAAUGGGAGUGGAAACUGCCUCUACUAUGAAAGACUUAAAUUCAUGGAACUCUGAAAUAGAAAGAUGCACUUGAGACCUGCAAAAACUUAACACUUCAGUGCUCCAUUAAUGGGUUUCAGUUCAGAGUUAAUGCAUCUCUAUCACAUGCUCUCCAUGUAAUGUGCCCAAGACAGCCAUUGCCUCUGUCACAGACCCAUUCAAGAACCCUAAUCCAGUUGCUGCUUCAUACAGCCAUUGUUGUUUCCAUCUUCCAUCUUCUACAUCAUGACAGAAAAAUCUGAGAAAAAGAAUAUCAGGCAUGGGAGUGGAAACUGGCCUGUACUACGAAUGCCCUAAAGUGAUGGGACACCAAAAAAGAAAGAAAGGUAGACCCAUUUGAGACCUGCAAAUUCCUAACACCAUAGUGCUCCAUCAAUGGCUUUCAGUUCAGAGGUAAUCCAUCUCUCUUCACAUGCUCUCCAUGGGAUGUGCCCAAGACAGCCAUUGCCUCUGUCACAGAACAUUUCAAGAACCCUUAUCCAGUUGCUGCUUCAGACAGGCAUUGUUAUUUCCAUCUUCCAACUUCUACAUUAUGACAGUAAAAUCUGAGGAAAAGAACACCUCCACUGGAAGUCGAAGCUUCCCAUACUAUGAAUGCCCUAAGAUCAUGGAACACUGAAAAAGAAAGAAAGACCCACUUGACACAUGCAAAUUCCUAACACAUCAGUGCUCCAUAAGUGGCUUUCAGUUCAGAGGUAAUCCAUCUCUCCU
rnacentral:lncRNA from 1 species